rnacentral:rRNA from 1 species
AGUGAACGCUGGCGGUAGGCCUAACACAUGCAAGUCGAACGGCAGCACAGGAGAGCUUGCUCUCUGGGUGGCGAGUGGCGGACGGGUGAGGAAUACAUCGGAAUCUACUCUGUCGUGGGGGAUAACGUAGGGAAACUUACGCUAAUACCGCAUACGACCUACGGGUGAAAGCAGGGGACCUGCGGGCAUUGCGCGAGUGAAUGAGCCGGUGCCGGAUUAGCUAGUUGGCGGGGUAAAGGCCCACCAAGGCGACGAUCCGUGGUUGGUCUGAUAGGAGGAUCAGCCACACUGGAACUGAGACGCGGUCCAGACUCCUACGGGAGGCAGCAGUGGGGAAUAUUGGACAAUGGGCGCAAGCCUGAUCCAGCCAUACCGCGUGGGUGAAGAAGGCCUUCGGGUUGUAAAGCCCUUUUGUUGGGAAAGAAAUCCAGCUGGCUAAUACCCGGUUGGGAUGACGGUACCCAAAGAAUAAGCACCGGCUAACUUCGUGCCAGCCGCCGCAGUAA